CUUUACUGGUCCUUGUCUUGCAUUAUUUUUAGCACACGUUACACAUCUACGUACAAUGGCCUGAGUCAAGUUGGACAAUCUUGGUAUGUAGAAAUGUUUUCUGAGAGAUUCUUCUGUACUGUCUCUCCCAGAAUGUGUCCCGUUGUGAUAGUUUUGGACAAUUUCUACCGCUAGUGAUGCUGGAAUAACUAUUCUUCCAUCUUCUAACUGAUACCAUUUGUUCUCCAAAUACUUUCCAGGUUCAGUCCUUAACCACUCCUCUUCUUGAGCUGUAUAAAUUGGAGUCCAU